rnacentral:rRNA from 1 species
CCUACGGGAGGCAGCAGUGGGGAAUAUUGGGCAAUGGGCGCAAGCCUGACCCAGCAACGCCGCGUGAAGGAAGAAGGCUUUCGGGUUGUAAACUUCUUUUCUCAGGGACGAAGAAAGUGACGGUACCUGAGGAAUAAGCCACGGCUAACUACGUGCCAGCAGCCGCGGUAAUACGUAGGUGGCAAGCGUUAUCCGGAUUUACUGGGUGUAAAGGGCGUGUAGGCGGGAAAGCAAGUCAGAUGUGAAAACCAUGGGCUCAACCUGUGGCCUGCAUUUGAAACUGUUUUUCUUGAGUACUGGAGAGGCAGACGGAAUUCCUAGUGUAGCGGUGAAAUGCGUAGAUAUUAGGAGGAACACCAGUGGCGAAGGCGGUCUGCUGGACAGCGACUGACGCUGAGGCGCGAAAGCGUGGGGAGCAAACAGGAUUAGAUACCCCAGUAGUC